rnacentral:rRNA from 1 species
UCAACACGGGGAAACUCACCCGGUCCGGACACUGGAAGGAUUGACAGAUUAAAAGCUCUUUCUUGAUUCAGUGGGUGGUGGUGCAUGGCCGUUCUUAGUUGGUGGAGUGAUUUGUCUGGUUAAUUCCGAUAACGAACGAGACUCUAGCCUGCUAACUAGUUCGCCGGCAGCUCUUGUCGCGCGGCGCCGCUUCGGCGGCAAACUUCUUAGAGGGACAGGUGGCGUUUAGCCACACGAAGUAGAGCAAUAACAGGUCUGUGAUGCCCUUAGAUGUCCGGGGCCGCACGCGCGCUACACUGAAAGAAUCAACGUGGAUGCCCACCUGCUCCGAGAGGAGUGGGAAACCCGAUGAAUCUCUUUCGUGAUGGGGAUUGGGGCUUGUAAUUGUUCCCCAUGAACGAGGAAUUCCCAGUAAGCGUCAGUCAUCAGCUGGCGCUGAUUACGUCCCUGCCCUUUGUACACACCGCCCGUCGCUACUACCGAUUGAAUGGUUUAGUGAGACCCUCGGACUGGAGUCCGUCCGCCGCUUUCGGGUGGUGGAUGGGGACGGAAAGACGGUCGAACUUGAUCAUUUAGAGGAAGUAA